AGAUUGAACGCUGGCGGCAUGCCUUACACAUGCAAGUCGAACGGCAGCACGGACUUCGGUCUGGUGGCGAGUGGCGAACGGGUGAGUAAUAUAUCGGAACGUACCCUGGAGUGGGGGAUAACGCAGCGAAAGUUGCGCUAAUACCGCAUACGAUCUACGGAUGAAAGUGGGGGCUCGCAAGACCUCAUGCUCGUGGAGCGGCCGAUAUCUGAUUAGCUAGUUGGUAGGGUAAAAGCCUACCAAGGCAUCGAUCAGUAGCUGGUCUGAGAGGACGACCAGCCACACUGGGACUGAGACACGGCCCAGACUCCUACGGGAGCAGCAGUGGGAAUUUUGGACAAGUGGGGGCAACCCUGAUCCAGCAAUGCCGCGUGAGUGAAGAAGGCCUUGGUUGUAAGUCUCGUUUAGUCGAAGGAAGAAACGGUAGAAGGACUAAUACUCUUU
rnacentral:rRNA from 1 species